rnacentral:rRNA from 1 species
AUUGAACGCUGGCGGCAGGCCUAACACAUGCAAGUCGAACGAGUGGCGGACGGGUGAGUAAUGUCUGGGAAACUGCGCGAUGGAGGGGGAUAACUACUGGAAACGGUAGCUAAUACCGCGUACCAUAGGAUGUGCCCAGAUGGGGGUAGCUUUUGGGUGAGGUAAAGGCCCACCUAGGCGACGAUACCUCGCUGGUCUGGGAGGAUGACCAGCAACACGGGAACUGGUACACGGCCCAGACUCCUACGGGAGGCAGCAGUGGGGAAUAUUGCACAAUUGGCGCAAGCCUGAUGCAGCCAGGCCGCGUGUAUGAAGAAGGCCUUCGGGUUGUAAAGUACUUUCAGCGGGGAGGCGUUACCCGCAGAAGAAGCACCGGCUAACUCCGUGCCAGCAGCCGCGGUAAUUC